CGGACGAACGCUGGCGGCGUGGAUUAGGCAUGCAAGUCGGACGGUAGGGCUUUAUCGUAAGAUAGAGUUUGAGAGUGGCGAACGGGUGAGUAACACGUAGGAAUCUACCCUUAAGACGGGGACAACCCAGGGAAACUUGGGCUAAUACCGGAUGAGAGUGCGAGAGAUUGCAUUUAAAAGGAUGGCGAAAGUUGUCGCUUAGGGAUGAGCCUGCGGUCUAUUAGUUAGUUGGUGGGGUAAAGGCCUACCAAGGCGAUGAUCGAUAGCUGGUUUGAGAGGAUGAUCAGCCACACUGGGACUGAGACACGGCCCAGACUCCUACGGGAGGCAGCAGUGGGGAAUAUUGGACAAUGGGGGCAACCCUGAUCCAGCAAUGCCGCGUGUGUGAAGAAGGUCUUCGGAUUGUAAAGCACUUUCGACGGGGACGAUGAUGACGGUACCCGUAGAAGAAGCCCCGGCUAACUUCGUG
rnacentral:rRNA from 1 species